GGGUGUGUAGCUCAGCUGGCUAGAGCACUACCUUGACAUGGUAGGGGUCGGGAGUUCAAGUCUCUUCACACCCACCA
rnacentral:tRNA from 1 species